rnacentral:rRNA from 1 species
GACGAACGCUGGCGGCGUGCUUAACACAUGCAAGUCGAACGGAAAGGCCCUGCUUUUGUGGGGUGCUCGAGUGGCGAACGGGUGAGUAACACGUGAGUAACCUGCCCUUGACUUUGGGAUAACUUCAGGAAACUGGGGCUAAUACCGGAUAGGAGCUCCUGCUGCAUGGUGGGGGUUGGAAAGUUUCGGCGGUUGGGGAUGGACUCGCGGCUUAUCAGCUUGUUGGUGGGGUAGUGGCUUACCAAGGCUUUGACGGGUAGCCGGCCUGAGAGGGUGACCGGCCACAUUGGGACUGAGAUACGGCCCAGACUCCUACGGGAGGCAGCAGUGGGGAAUAUUGCACAAUGGGCGGAAGCCUGAUGCAGCAACGCCGCGUGCGGGAUGACGGCCUUCGGGUUGUAAACCGCUUUCGCCUGUGACGAAGCGUGAGUGACGGUAAUGGGUAAAGAAGCACCGGCUAACUACGUGCCAGCAGCCGCGGUGAUACGUAGGGUGCGAGCGUUGUCCGGAUUUAUUGGGCGUAAAGGGCUCGUAGGUGGUUGAUCGCGUCGGAAGUGUAAUCUUGGGGCUUAACCCUGAGCGUGCUUUCGAUACGGGUUGACUUGAGGAAGGUAGGGGAGAAUGGAAUUCCUGGUGGAGCGGUGGAAUGCGCAGAUAUCAGGAGGAACACCAGUGGCGAAGGCGGUUCUCUGGGCCUUUCCUGACGCUGAGGAGCGAAAGCGUGGGGAGCGAACAGGCUUAGAUACCCUGGUAGUCCACGCUGUAAACGGUGGGUACUAGGUGUGGGGUCCAUUCCACGGGUUCCGUGCCGUAGCUAACGCUUUAAGUACCCCGCCUGGGGAGUACGGCCGCAAGGCUAAAACUCAAAGGAAUUGACGGGGCCCCGCACAAGCGGCGGAGCAUGCGGAUUAAUUCGAUGCAACGCGUAGAACCUUACCUGGGUUUGACAUGGAUCGGGAGUGCUCAGAGAUGGGUGUGCCUCUUUUGGGGUCGGUUCACAGGUGGUGCAUGGCUGUCGUCAGCUCGUGUCGUGAGAUGUUGGGUUAAGUCCCGCAACGAGCGCAACCCUUGUUCACUGUUGCCAGCACGUUAUGAUGGGGACUCAGUGGAGACCGCCGGGGUCAACUCGGAGGAAGGUGGGGAUGACGUCAAGUCAUCAUGCCCCUUAUGUCCAGGGCUUCACGCAUGCUACAAUGGCUGGUACAGAGAGUGGCGAGCCUGUGAGGGUGAGCGAAUCUCGGAAAGUCGGUCUCAGUUCGGAUUGGGGUCUGCAACUCGACCUCAUGAAGUCGGAGUCGCUAGUAAUCGCAGAUCAGCAACGCUGCGGUGAAUACGUUCCCGGGGCU